rnacentral:rRNA from 1 species
GACGAACGCUGGCGGCGUGCUUAACACAUGCAAGUCGAACGGAAAGGCCCUGCUUUUGUGGGGUGCUCGAGUGGCGAACGGGUGAGUAACACGUGAGUAACCUGCCCUUGACUUUGGGAUAACUUCAGGAAACUGGGGCUAAUACCGGAUAGGAGCUCCUGCUGCAUGGUGGGGGUUGGAAAGUUUCGGCGGUUGGGGAUGGACUCGCGGCUUAUCAGCUUGUUGGUGGGGUAGUGGCUUACCAAGGCUUUGACGGGUAGCCGACCUGAGAGGGUGACCGGCCACAUUGGGACUGAGAUACGGCCCAGACUCCUACGGGAGGCAGCAGUGGGGAAUAUUGCACAAUGGGCGGAAGCCUGAUGCAGCAACGCCGCGUGCGGGAUGACGGCCUUCGGGUUGUAAACCGCUUUCGCCUGUGACGAAGCGUGAGUGACGGUAAUGGGUAAAGAAGCACCGGCUAACUACGUGCCAGCAGCCGCGGUGAUACGUAGGGUGCGAGCGUUGUCCGGAUUUAUUGGGCGUAAAGGGCUCGUAGGUGGUUGAUCGCGUCGGAAGUGUAAUCUUGGGGCUUAACCCUGAGCGUGCUUUCGAUACGGGUUGACUUGAGGAAGGUAGGGGAGAAUGGAAUUCCUGGUGGAGCGGUGGAAUGCGCAGAUAUCAGGAGGAACACCAGUGGCGAAGGCGGUUCUCUGGGCCUUUCCUGACGCUGAGGAGCGAAAGCGUGGGGAGCGAACAGGCUUAGAUACCCUGGUAGUCCACGCUGUAAACGGUGGGUACUAGGUGUGGGGUCCAUUCCACGGGUUCCGUGCCGUAGCUAACGCUUUAAGUACCCCGCCUGGGGAGUACGGCCGCAAGGCUAAAACUCAAAGGAAUUGACGGGGCCCCGCACAAGCGGCGGAGCAUGCGGAUUAAUUCGAUGCAACGCGUAGAACCUUACCUGGGUUUGACAUGGAUCGGGAGUGCUCAGAGAUGGGUGUGCCUCUUAUGGGGUCGGUUCACAGGUGGUGCAUGGCUGUCGUCAGCUCGUGUCGUGAGAUGUUGGGUUAAGUCCCGCAACGAGCGCAACCCUUGUUCACUGUUGCCAGCACGUUAUGGUGGGGACUCAGUGGAGACCGCCGGGGUCAACUCGGAGGAAGGUGGGGAUGACGUCAAGUCAUCAUGCCCCUUAUGUCCAGGGCUUCACGCAUGCUACAAUGGCUGGUACAGAGAGUGGCGAGCCUGUGAGGGUGAGCGAAUCUCGGAAAGCCGGUCUCAGUUCGGAUUGGGGUCUGCAACUCGACCUCAUGAAGUCGGAGUCGCUAGUAAUCGCAGAUCAGCAACGCUGCGGUGAAUACGUUCCCGGG